rnacentral:rRNA from 1 species
GAUGAACGCUGGCGGCGUGCCUAAUACAUGCAAGUCGAGCGAACAGACGAGGAGCUUGCUCCUCUGACGUUAGCGGCGGACGGGUGAGUAACACGUGGAUAACCUACCUAUAAGACUGGGAUAACUUCGGGAAACCGGAGCUAAUACCGGAUAAUAUAUUGAACCGCAUGGUUCAAUAGUGAAAGACGGUUUUGCUGUCUCUUAUAGAUGGAUCCGCGCCGCAUUAGCUAGUUGGUAAGGUAACGGCUUACCAAGGCAACGAUGCGUAGCCGACCUGAGAGGGAGAUCGGCCACACUGGAACUGAGACACGGUCCAGACUCCUACGGGAGGCAGCAGUAGGGAAUCUUCCGCGAUGGGCGAAAGCCUGACAGAGCAACGCCGCGUGAGUGAUGAAGGUCUUCGGAUCGUAAAACUCUGUUAUUAGGGAAGAACAAAUGUGUAAGUAACUAUGCACGUAUUGACGGUACCUAAUCAGAAAGCCACGGCUAACUACGUG